UAGCAUAGUUCGCAUUUCUCUUGUAAUUGCAGCGGUUUUUGCUCCCCUGCUAAGGGAGUAGGCCGGGAAACCGGCGCGAGGGUUCAAAUCCCUCCUUCCGCGCCA
rnacentral:tRNA from 1 species